GAAGGUGUGUCGUGAGGCAUGCUGGAGGUAUCAGAAGUGCGAAUGCUGACAUAAGUAACGAUAAAGCGGGUGAAAAGCCCGCUCGCCGGAAGACCAAGGGUUCCUGUCCAACGUUAAUCGGGGCAGGGUGAGUCGACCCCUAAGGCGAGGCCGAAAGGCGUAGUCGAUGGGAAACGGGUUAAUAUUCCCGUACUUGGUGUUACUGCGAAGGGGGGACGGAGAAGGCUAUGUUGGCCGGGCGACGGUUGUCCCGGUUUAAGCGUGUAGGUGUGUGUUCCAGGUAAAUCCGGUUCACUUUAACACUGAGGCGUGACGACGAGGCACUACGGUGCUGAAGCAACAAAUGCCCUGCUUCCAGGAAAAGCCUCUAAGCAUCAGGUAACAUCAAAUCGUACCCCAAACCGACACAGGUGGUCAGGUAGAGAAUACCAAGGCGCUUGAGAGAACUCGGGUGAAGGAACUAGGCAAAAUGGUGCCGUAACUUCGGGAGAAGGCACGCUGACACGUAGGUGAAGUGAUUUACUCAUGGAGCUGAAGUCAGUCGAAGAUACCAGCUGGCUGCAACUGUUUAUUAAAAACACAGCACUGUGCAAACACGAAAGUGGACGUAUACGGUGUGACGCCUGCCCGGUGCCGGAAGGUUAAUUGAUGGGGUCAGCGCAAGCGAAGCUCCUGAUCGAAGCCCCGGUAAACGGCGGCCGUAACUAUAACGGUCCUAAGGUAGCGAAAUUCCUUGUCGGGUAAGUUCCGACCUGCACGAAUGGCGUAAUGAUGGCCAGGCUGUCUCCACCCGAGACUCAGUGAAAUUGAACUCGCUGUGAAGAUGCAGUGUACCCGCGGCAAGACGGAAAGACCCCGUGAACCUUUACUAUAGCUUGACACUGAACAUUGAGCCUUGAUGUGUAGGAUAGGUGGGAGGCUUUGAAGUGUGGACGCCAGUCUGCAUGGAGCCGACCUUGAAAUACCACCCUUUAAUGUUUGAUGUUCUAACGUGGACCCGUGAUCCGGGUUGCGGACAGUGUCUGGUGGGUAGUUUGACUGGGGCGGUCUCCUCCUAAAGAGUAACGGAGGAGCACGAAGGUUGGCUAAUCCUGGUCGGACAUCAGGAGGUUAGUGCAAUGGCAUAAGCCAGCUUGACUGCGAGCGUGACGGCGCGAGCAGGUGCGAAAGCAGGUCAUAGUGAUCCGGUGGUUCUGAAUGGAAGGGCCAUCGCUCAACGGAUAAAAGGUACUCCGGGGAUAACAGGCUGAUACCGCCCAAGAGUUCAUAUCGACGGCGGUGUUUGGCACCUCGAUGUCGGCUCAUCACAUCCUGGGGCUGAAGUAGGUCCCAAGGGUAUGGCUGUUCGCCAUUUAAAGUGGUACGCGAGCUGGGUUUAGAACGUCGUGAGACAGUUCGGUCCCUAUCUGCCGUGGGCGCUGGAGAACUGAGGGGGGCUGCUCCUAGUACGAGAGGACCGGAGUGGACGCAUCACUGGUGUUCGGGUUGUCAUGCCAAUGGCACUGCCCGGUAGCUAAAUGCGGAAGAGAUAAGUGCUGAAAGCAUCUAAGCACGAAACUUGCCCCGAG
rnacentral:rRNA from 1 species